rnacentral:lncRNA from 1 species
ACACAGCUACUGUCAAAAGAGAGCAUACAGGAUCUAACUGUGCAAAUCCCUAUAUUUAGCAGACAGUAGCUGCAGACUAAAGAAGGGCCAGCAGUCUUCAACCACAACAUAAGGGUACAUUUUGGCUAUCCAGUUCUCAAAGUGCAGUGAUAAAAUUAGACACCAGGAUAUCGAGGGGCUUGUUAUCUUUCUAGGAGCAAAAUGGAAAAUAUCUAAAAAGAUUAAAAGAACAGUAGACGUACUUUUGUUUGUAAUACUCGGCAUAUGAGCUGUACU